rnacentral:ncRNA from 2 species
GAUGGCGAUGGGGAUGGGGUUCCCCCGAAACCGCCCUUUCCGGGCUGAUGACUCCUGUUAUUUC